rnacentral:tRNA from 1 species
GAGGGUAUAGCUAGGGUGGUAGAGUGCAUGCUUAGCAUGCAGGAGGUCCUGGGUUCAAUCCCCAGUACCUCCU